rnacentral:rRNA from 1 species
AUGAACGCUGGCGGCGUGCCUAAUACAUGCAAGUCGAGCGAACAGACGAGGAGCUUGCUCCUCUGACGUUAGCGGCGGACGGGUGAGUAACACGUGGAUAACCUACCUAUAAGACUGGGAUAACUUCGGGAAACCGGAGCUAAUACCGGAUAAUAUAUUGAACCGCAUGGUUCAAUAGUAAAAGACGGUUUUGCUGUCACUUAUAGAUGGAUCCGCGCCGCAUUAGCUAGUUGGUAAGGUAACGGCUUACCAAGGCAACGAUGCGUAGCCGACCUGAGAGGGUGAUCGGCCACACUGGAACUGAGACACGGUCCAGACUCCUACGGGAGGCAGCAGUAGGGAAUCUUCCGCAAUGGGCGAAAGCUUGACGGAGCAACGCCGCGUGAGUGAUGAAGGUCUUCGGAUCGUAAAACUCUGUUAUUAGGGAAGAACAAAUGUGUAAGUAACUAUGCACGUCUUGACGGUACCUAAUCAGAAAGCCACGGCUAACUACGUG